rfam:Eucalyptus grandis cultivar BRASTZ1 unplaced genomic scaffold scaffold_5175, whole genome shotgun sequence.
GGGAGGGAUCAUACCAGCACUAAUGCACCGGAUCCCAUUAGAACUCCGAAGUUAAGCGUGCUUGGGCGAGAGUAGUACUAGGAUGGGUGACCUCCUGGGAAGUCCUCGUGUUGCAUCCA